rnacentral:rRNA from 1 species
GAUGAACGCUGGUGGCGUGCCUAAUACAUGCAAGUCGAGCGAACGGACGAGAAGCUUGCUUCUCUGAUGUUAGCGGCGGACGGGUGAGUAACACGUGGAUAACCUACCUAUAAGACUGGGAUAACUUCGGGAAACCGGAGCUAAUACCGGAUAAUAUUUUGAACCGCAUGGUUCAAAAGUGAAAGACGGUCUUGCUGUCACUUAUAGAUGGUUCCGCGCUGCAUUAGCUAGUUGGUAAGGUAACGGCUUACCAAGGCAACGAUGCAUAGCCGACCUGAGAGGGUGAUCGGCCACACUGGAACUGAGACACGGUCCAGACUCCUACGGGAGGCAGCAGUAGGGAAUCUUCCGCAAUGGGCGAAAGCCUGACGGAGCAACGCCGCGUGAGUGAUGAAGGUCUUCGGAUCGUAAAACUCUGUUAUUAGGGAAGAACAUAUGUGUAAGUAACUGUGCACAUCUUGACGGUACCUAAUCAGAAAGCCACGGCUAACUACGUG